rnacentral:rRNA from 1 species
UACCAGCUCCCCGAGUGGUCGGGACGGUUAUUUGGCCUAAAGCAUCCGUAGCCGGUCCUGUCCGUCUUCCGUUAAAUCUAACGGCCCAACCGUUAGGCUGCGGAAGAUACCACAGGACUAGGAGACGGGAGAGGUGGACGGUACUCCGGGGGUAGGGGUAAAAUCCUCUGAUCCUCGGAAGACCACCAGCGGCGAAGGUUGUCCACCAGAACGUGUCCGACGGUGAGGGAUGAAAGCUGGGGGAGCGAACCGG